CGGUAACUGCCCAAGAAUGUCCAUUUCAGAGGAAAGACAAGAUGGAGUCAGACACAGAGAUUCCUGAAUUCAGCUCCUCUCUAGUGACAAAGACGCCAGACUGGAAGAAACCUGCCAUUCAUAGCACUCCACAGGAGAUGGCUAUGGGCUGGAGCCCAAGGCCCCCCGGAAGAAACUUCCAAAGCCACUGGUCCUUGAUAUCUAAAGGGUCUCCCCAGCUGUCAGGGUUCAGUUCCACAACCACCUUCAGAAAAAGGCUUUCAACUGUUGAGGAUUUAGAGAGUUCCAGCGAGCAGGAGGGGCCCCAUUCAGACCAUUUAGCUGCAGAGGAAGGACCCUGCAUGUCAGCCUCCUUGAACCAGGAGCAGCAUCAGAAGAAGACAGAGGCCCUGCAGGCAACGAGCUGGCCAAAGAACUCAGGAAUGCCUGGAAUCUCAGACAUCGCCUGUCGAAAGAGACGAGACCCAAAGAAGCGGGCAGCUGCGAUGCAACGCUUGCGGCAAUGGGAGGCCCAGAUGCUUCAGGAAAUUGAGGAGGCAGUUCAUCAUGAACUUACCAUCCAAGAGGGGGUCCUUAGCACUGAGCUCCCUGGCCAAGCCCAGGGGCCACUUAGCAUCAGUACAGUUAGGAUAGAUCCCCAGGCCCCUGCUGCCUUGGCAUGACUUCAUUGUCCACACCACACACUCCAGCUGGCCCAGGAGUGGGCCAGCAGCUGGGACUGUGCACAGGAACUUCAGAUUCCACACAAUGUUCUAAGUGGUCCACUUUAUAUUUAAACAUCUGCGUGUUUUACAAGCUACUUUCUAUUAAAAUAAUUCUCUAUUUUCAUUUGUGUAAUUAUCUGGUUAUAAAAUCAGCCUUGUGAACAUGUCAGAACUUUACUAAUUUUUCAAAGACAGAAUACUAUUUUUAAAACCUGGUUAGAACUGUGUAACAUGGAGAUGAAUACAUCAGAGAAAAGUUCUUCCAAUCUUCAUUAUUAAAAAUAAACUCUUUUCAUGAG